rnacentral:tRNA from 1 species
UGAGUUUUAAUAAACCCUUUAAA